UGUCGGGUAAGUUCCGACCUGCACGAAUGGCGUAACGAUUUCCCCACUGUCUCCAACAUCGACUCAGCGAAAUUGAAUUCUCCGUGAAGAUGCGGAGUACCCGCGGUCAGACGGAAAGACCCCGUGCACCUUUACUACAGCUUCGCACUGGCAUCAGGAUUGUGACGUGCAGGAUAGGUGGUAGGCAUCGAAACCGAGACGCUAGUCUCGGUGGAGCCUCCCUUGAGAUACCACCCUUC
rnacentral:rRNA from 1 species